rnacentral:tRNA from 1 species
GGCUCUGUGGCAUAAUGGCAAGUGUGUUCACCUUUUCAACAGUGGUGCUUGGUGUGAGUUAGGUCAAUCAUUCAACAGUUGUGGGUUUGAAUCCCACCCCAGUCA